AUUGCAUGAUAUGGGCAAGAGCGCAAUCAAUCUUUGAAUCUUUCCCAUGUCUCAUGAAACUGCUCACCAUCAUGCUGAUUGAAGCUUGUGAUUGCUCUUCUAAUCUC